GUAGCCUGCAACCCGGCCUACAUGAAGCUGGAAUCGCUAGUAAUCGCAGAUCAGAAUGCUGCGGUGAAUACGUUCCCGGGUCUUGUACACACCGCCCGUCACACCAUGGGAGCCGGCAACGCCCGAAGUCAGUGGCCUAACCGAGAGGGAGGAGCUGCCGAAGGCGGGGCUGGUAACUGGGGUGAAGUCGUAACAAGGUACC
rnacentral:rRNA from 1 species